UACGAGAGGCCCAAACGUUAUUCGGAUUUACUGGGCUUAAAGAGUCCGUAGGCGGCGCAGAAAGUGGGGUGUGAAAUCCCUCGGCUCAACCGAGGAAUUGCGCUCCAAACUCCUGUGCUUGAGGAAUCUAGAGGUGAGCGGAACUGAUGGUGGAGCGGUGAAAUGCGUUGAUAUCAUCAGGAACACCGGAGGCGAAGGCGGCUCACUGGGGAUUUUCUGACGCUGAGGGACGAAAGCCAGGGGAGCGAACGGG
rnacentral:rRNA from 1 species